UACGUAGGGUGCGAGCGUUGUCCGGAUUUAUUGGGCGUAAGGAGCUCGUAGGCGGUUUGUCGCGUCGGCCGUGAAAUCUCCACGCUUAACGUGGAGCGUGCGGUCGAUACGGGCAGACUUGAGUUCGGUAGGGGAGACUGGAAUUCCUGGUGUAGCGGUGAAAUGCGCAGAUAUCAGGAGGAACACCGGUGGCGAAGGCGGGUCUCUGGGCCGAUACUGACGCUGAGGAGCGAAAGCGUGGGGAGCGAACAGG
rnacentral:rRNA from 1 species